CCUAAGAUAUGACGGAACUGAAUUCUUCCAGCAAGCAUGUGAGCUUGGAAGAGAACACCAUGCGCCACACGAGAAUGCAUACUGGCCAACACCCUGUGCAAAGAUCCAGAGAAGCUGUGCUCAGACUCCUGACUCAUGAAAAUAGUGAACUUAUAAAUGUAUAUUGUUUUAAGAUGCUAAAUUUGUGGUGAUGUGUUACAUGGCA
rnacentral:lncRNA from 10 species